rnacentral:lncRNA from 1 species
CACUUUUCGCCUGUUCACUAGGGUUCUUCUCCAUUGAUGCCAUCCCCUACUGUUGUUGUUGCAAAUGCAAAAGCCAAAGAGUUAAGUUGCAUGUGUCUUGUAAGCAUCAAAUAUAAUCGUCUUGGCUGCCUAAUUUUCGUCUUAUGCUAUUCGAUAUCAAGCGGCUCUACCGUCUCUAGUAAUUUUCGACAUAUUUCAGCAGCAGCAACAACAGAGAGGGAGAGGGACAGUG